UACGUAGGGCGCAAGCGUUGUCCGAAAUUAUUGGGCGUAAAGAGCUCGUAGGCGGUUUGUCGCGUCUGCUGUGAAAACCUAAGGCUCAACCUUGGGCUUGCAGUGGGUACGGGCAGACUAGAGUGCGGUAGGGGUGACUGGAAUUCCUGGUGUAGCGGUGGAAUGCGCAGAUAUCAGGAGGAACACCGGUGGCGAAGGCGGGUCUCUGGGCCGAUAUCGACGCUGAGGAGCGAAAGCGUGGGGAGCGAACAGG
rnacentral:rRNA from 1 species